CAGAAUAAUUACCGCAUUGAUGCCAACCAGGAGCUGCUGGCCAUCGGCCUCACCAAUGUGCUGGGCUCCCUAGUCUCGUCUUACCCGGUCACUGGCAGCUUUGGGCGGACAGCAGUGAAUGCCCAGACGGGGGUGUGUACCCCGGCAGGAGGCCUGGUGACUGGUGUCCUGGUGCUGCUGUCUCUGGACUACCUGACCUUACUGUUCUACUAUAUCCCCAAGUCUGCACUGGCUGCCGUCAUCAUCAUGGCUGUGGCCCCGCUCUUUGACGUCAAGAUCUUCAGGAGGCUCUGGCUUGUUCAGAGGCUGGACCUGUUACCACUCUGCGUGACAUUCCUGCUGUCCUUCUGGGAGAUCCAAUACGGCA
rnacentral:lncRNA from 1 species